rnacentral:tRNA from 1 species
UCCCUGGCAGUCCAAUGGUUAGGAUUCCAUGCUUCUACUGCAGGGGGCACAGGUUUGAUCCCUGUUCAGGGAA